rnacentral:lncRNA from 1 species
CCCCCUGAAUGGAUCCGCUACCACCGCUACCACGGGCGCUCGGCAACGGUGUGGUCUCUGGGCGUACUGCUCUAUGAUAUGGUGUGUGGGGACAUUCCCUUCGAGCAGGACGAGGAGAUUCUCCGAGGCCGCCUCUUCUUCCGGAGGAGAGUCUCCCCAGAGUGCCAGGAGCUCAUUCAGUGGUGUCUGUCCCUGCGGCCCUCGGAGCGGCCCUCGCUGGACCAGAUCUCUGCACACCCUUGGAUGCUGGGGGCCGAGGGGGGCCCUGCAGAGAGCUGCGACCUGCGGCUCUGCGCUCUGGAUGUGGACGACGGGGCCAGCACCACCUCCAGCAGUGAGAGCUUGUGAGGAGGAGCCCGGGCCUGGCUUGUGGGAGCCGGAGGGACCGACCCCGCCUGGGCUGUCUGCUUCUUGCAAAAGCGGUGACCUCUGACUCCCGGUGACCUUUGCCUUUGGCACCGGGCUGUUUGCUUUGCUUUGAGUGCCUUUUCGAACGCUGCUCUCACGGGACUUGGUCUUCUCAAGCUCUGUCUGUCCAAAGACGCUCCGGUCGACGUGAGGUCCGGCCUGGGCCGGGCAGGGGCGCGACCCUGAGACUGUCCAUCCCUCGUGCUGCUCUGGGAGGCAGCCAUGCCGGCCCUCAGCGCCUCCCCCGUCGCACCGUGUUGGACCAGGAGCAUGUCCUGUGGCCUCAUCUCACCAGGGCGCAGGCUCCCUUGUGCCCACCCCCCGCGCCCACCUGUCUCCGGUGUUCUUCCGGGCAAGUCUGCACAAGCAAUGCAACGUCGGGGCGUCUGCUGCCUGCGCGCGUGCACGCGGGGGGUGUGCGCCCGCGCACGUCUAUUUAUGGUCUGACCCUGCGGAGGGCUAUUUAUUGUUUAAUUUAUUUGUGGAGGUUCCCUCCUGCCAGCGCCCCCACCUUCUUCAGGCCCCGGAAUGGGGGGCGUGGCGGUGUGUGGACCCCAGGUCCUGAUCCUACCUGUGUCUGUCGGAAGAUGGACUUGUACAGUGGCUAAUUUAAGGGGCAAGGGUGACUCCGCUGCCUGUGGCUCUGUGCCUCGGGGGGAGCGGGGUGGGGGUGGGUUUUAAAUUAUUGACCUUGUACAGUCUGCUUGUUGGCUCUGCAGGCGGGGGGUGGGGGGACAGAGUCUCAAGCCUUUAAUUUAUUGUAGCGGCUGUGUUUCUGUGACCUCGGUGUGUGUAGGCAUCGAGGGUGGGGCUUUCUUUCAGUUCAGAAGUGAGAUGUCUGGAGAUCAUAUUUUUUAUACAGGUAUUUCAAUUAAAUUGUUUUGUAUAUAACAGUUACUCUGUGUGUGUU